UACGUAGAAGACGAGUGUUAUUCAUCUUUAACAGGUUUAAAGGGUACCUAGACGGAAAAUCAAGCCAUAGUAGGGACUAAUUUUCUAGAGUUUUAUAGGUGAAGAUCGAAUUACCUGAGGAGCGAUGGAAUGCAUUGAUACAGGUAAGACGGAUAGCAGCGAAGGCAAUCUUCUAUGUAAUAACUGACGUUGAGGGACGAAGCCUU
rnacentral:rRNA from 1 species